GACGAACGCUGGCGGCGUGCCUAACACAUGCAAGUCGAACGGAAAGGCCCUGCUCUUGUGGGGUUCUCGAGUGGCGAACGGGUGAGUAACACGCGAGUAACCUGCCCUUGUCUUUGUGAUAUCUUCAGGAAACUGGGGCUAAUACCGCAUAGCAGCUCCUGCUCCACGGUGGGGGUUGGAAAGCUUCGGCGGUUGGGGAUGGACUCGCGGCUUCUCAGCUUGUUGGUCGGGUAGUGGCUUACCCAGGCUUUGACGGGUAGCCGGCCUGAGAGGGUCGCCGGCCACAAUGGGCCUGGGGUACGGCCCAGACUCGUACCGGCGGCAGUGGUGGGGAGUAUUGCCCAAUGGGCGGAAGCCAGAGGUAGGAACGCCGGGUGCGGAAAGACGGCCUACGGGUUGUAAACCGCUUUCGCAUGUGCCGAGGCGUUAGUGACGGUAAUGGGUAAAGAAGCACCGGCUAACUACGUG
rnacentral:rRNA from 1 species